rnacentral:lncRNA from 1 species
CCGAAUCAGAUGGCUUAAAAUCAAUCAAUUUAUAUUCGUUAUGUAUUUGUUUACCAAUAUAUUUGCAAACGCUAUCCAACACUUGACAAAUAAAAGCCGAAAGCUUUAGUUUCCGUACUUGGUACUACAAAACCAUAGAUUGUCUUUAAUGGCUUGUAAAUGUACCUAAGUAGUCUCAUCCUCACAAUCUUCCUAUUGAUAAUGUAUCAUUAGAAGAAUAUGUUAGAAAAGUCUAUCAUAAAGAGGACAACAAUUUAAAUGUCAUAAUUCUUCAAUUACAAAUUGUUGUAUGAAGAAAUAGGAGUUGCUUUGAACAACUCUUAGUCAAUGCAAACACUUAGUGCUUGUUUCUUUGUUACAUGAACAAGGAACUUGAGAAGAAAUCACAAAGGCAUGGACACUUUAUGUGCCAUGAUUCUUCACUUACAAAUUGUUGUAUGAAGAAAUGAGAGUUGCCUUGUACAACUCUUAAAAGUUUGUAAUUAUGUUUAGAACAUAAUGGUUGGUUGACAAAAAUAGUCCAUUA